rnacentral:rRNA from 1 species
GACGAACGCUGGCGGCGUGCUUGACACAUGCAAGUCGAACGGAAAGGCCUGCUUUCCCUUGUGGAUUGCGGGUACUCGAGUGGCGAACGGGUGAGUAACACGUGAGUGAUCUGCCCCCAACUUGGGUAUAAGCCUGGGAAACUGGGUCUAAUUCCCGAUAGGACUGCAGGGUGGUGCCUGUGGUGGAAAACGAUUUUCUAGUGGUUGGGGAUGAGCUCGCGGCCUAUCAGCUUGUUGGUGGGGUAAUGGCCUACCAAGGCGGCGACGGGUAGCCGGCCUGAGAGGGUGGACGGCCACAUUGGGACUGAGAUACGGCCCAGACUCCUACGGGAGGCGGCAGUGGGGAAUAUUGCACAAUGGGCGGAAGCCUGAUGCAGCGACGCCGCGUGGGGGAUGACGGCCUUCGGGUUGUAAACUCCUUUCGACCGCGAGGAAGCCACCUGGUUGGAAGGGUGGUGACGGUAGUGGUAGAAGAAGCACCGGCUAACUACGUG